ACUUGAUAAAAUUACUCCACCUGUAAAACAAGCCGACAUUAGCUUAGUAGAGUUUCUGCCACAUGUAUUCUUUUCCGGUUUGUGCUUGUGUUGUUAAUGUCCAUGGUGCUAUUUUGGAUCAAACAGUUUUGAUUAUUGGUAAUAUGGCAUACGAUAAAAUGUUGAGUAGUUUGGGCAUCGUGACUGAAUGUGCUUUAGAAGAAUAUCUUUUGUAUUGAUAAGCUUCGAUGUGGAUACUGAAUGGAAGGGAGAAAAGUAAACAUACUACUGGAUGGGAAGAUGAAAGACGAUGUGUUACGAUUUAGUGCUGAGGCCAACUACCAUGAUGAGAUAUUUGCAAUUUUUCCAAUUAGACAUUAAAUAUUUGAGUGUACCAUUGAUUUGAUCUUUUAUAUACACUGAAUAGGGCUCCGUUCCAAAAUGUAUCUGUCAAUCAAAAAGUGAUAAAGUUCAAAUUAAGAUGGUGUAAAUUUCACUCGGUUAGCUUGUUUCAAAUAAUGAUCUACAUUCCGUGUCAACUUUAGAAAAAAUCUAUUUACUUUACAA